rnacentral:tRNA from 1 species
GCCGCUUUAGCUCAGUUGGUAGAGCAUCGUAUUCGUAAUGCGGGGGUCACAGGUUCGAGUCCUGUAAGCGGCACCA